rnacentral:rRNA from 1 species
UACGUAGGGUGCAAGCGUUAAUCGGAAUUACUGGGCGUAAAGCGUGCGCAGGCGGUUUUUUAAGUCUGUUGUGAAAUCCCCGGGCUCAACCUGGGAAUGGCAAUGGAGACUGCAAGGCUAGAGUUUGGCAGAGGGGGGUAGAAUUCCACGUGUAGCAGUGAAAUGCGUAGAUAUGUGGAGGAACACCGAUGGCGAAGGCAGCCCCCUGGGUCAAAACUGACGCUGAUGCACGAAAGCGUGGGGAGCAAACAGG